ensembl:snRNA U6 U6 spliceosomal RNA
GCGCUCACUUUGGCAGCACAUGUGCUAAAGUUUGAAGGAGACAGAGAUUAGCAUGGCCCCCGUGCAAGGGUGACACGCUAAGGUUCAGUAAGAAAAAGGAAUACU